GCCUGUUUAUCAAAAACAUAGCCCAAAGAAUUUAAAUUUUGGGUGAAGCCUGCCCAGUGCUUGUACAAUUAGUGUUAACGGCCGCAGUAUUUUGACUGUGCUAAGGUAGCAAAAUAAUUUGGCUUUUAAAUGGAGUCGGGAAUGAAUGGAUUUAUGGGGUAAAGCUGUCUCUAUUGCACUUACUUUAAUUUAUUUACUAGGUGAAAAUACCUAGGUUAAGAAAAAAGACGAGAAGACCCUAGGAGUUUUAAUAAAAAAUUAUUGAAAUAAUUUGAAUUUUUGUUGGGGCGACAAUGGAGUAUAUAUUUAACCUCCACUUUAAUAUUUGCCGACUUUGUAUGCGAAUUUAAACUACCCUAGGGAUAACAGCGUAAUUUUUUAUAAGCUUGCGACCUCGAUGUUGGACUAGGAAUUCGGUAGGCUAGCCGCCUAUUUUUAUGGUUCUGUUCGAACUAAAUUUCCUACGUGAUCUG
rnacentral:rRNA from 1 species